GCCGGGAUGGCCGAGCCAGGUCAAGGCGAUGGACUCGAAAUCCAUUGGGCGUAAACAACGAAAGAAACAGACCGUGUCUGUUUCGGUUGGCGCGUGCCCGCGCAGGUUCGAAAAGCGUAUGAAACAGAUUUCAUCUGUUUCCGUCGAAAUUCCUGCUCCCGGCG
rnacentral:tRNA from 1 species